rnacentral:rRNA from 1 species
CACGUAGGGGUCAAGCGUUGUCCGGAUUCAUUGGGCGUAAAGAGCUCGUAGGCGGUUCAGUUAGUCGGGUGUGAAAUCUCCGGGCUCAACCCGGAGGGGCCACCCGAUACUGCUGUGACUCGAGUCCGGUAGGGGAGUGGGGGAAUUCCUGGUGUAGCGGUGAAAUGCGCAGAUAUCAGGAGGAACACCGGUGGCGAAGGCGGUUCUCUGGGCAUGACCUGACGCUGAGGAGCGAAAGCGUGGGGAGCGAACAGG